UCUCCAGGGAUUUAAGUCAUAAUCACUUACUGUCCUCUAACUGGAGCAUUGAUUUGUCUAUUCACACACUGCAAGAAGUGAAGAUGAAUUACAAUGAGCUAAGUGAAAUUCCCUACUUUGGAGAAUCAACUUCUAAUAUUACUAUUCUGUCAUUAGUACACAAUACAAUUCCAGAGAUAAAUGCUGAGCAGCUCCAACUUUACCUUUCUUUGGAGAACCUAGACCUUAGCUCUAACCUCAUAUCAGAUAUUAAAGCUUCUUCAUUCCCACGAAUGCAGUUGAAGUACCUGAAUCUGAGUAACAACAGAAUAACUACCCUAGAAGCAGGCUGCUUUGAUAACUUAUCCAGUUCUCUAGUGGUGGUGAAACUAAACAGAAACAGAAUUAGUAUGAUUCCACCAAAGGUCUUCAGAUUGCCUCACGUGCAAUUCCUGGAACUUAAAAGGAACCGGAUUAAAAUAGUGGAAAGUCUUACAUUCCAGGGUCUGGAAUCCUUAAAGUCAUUAAAAAUGCAGCGCAAUGGGAUUAGCAAACUAAUGGAUGGAGCAUUCUUUGGAUUGGAUAAUAUGGAAGAACUAGAACUGGAACAUAAUAACCUGACAGAAAUAAACAAGGGCUGGUUGUAUGGCUUACGAACGUUGCAACAACUCUACGUUAGCCAAAAUGCCAUUAACAGGAUCAGUCCAGAUGCAUGGGAAUUCUGCCAGAGACUUUCUGAACUAGACUUGUCGUACAACCAGCUGACCCGCCUGGAUGAGUCUGCCUUUGCGGGACUUGGCUUAUUGGAGAAAUUAAAUCUAGGUGACAACAGAAUCAUUCACAUUGCUGAUGGUGUCUUUAAAGGGCUGUCAAAUCUUCAAACUCUAGAUUUGCGGAACAACGAGAUCUUUUGGGCCAUAGAAGAUUCAAAUGAAGCCUUUGCAGGUCUCAGCAGCCUCAGCAAACUAAUCUUGCAAGGAAACCAGAUCAAAUCAAUUACAAAGAAAGCAUUCUCUGGUCUUGAAGCACUUAAACAUCUAGAUUUGAACAACAAUGCAAUAAUGUCUAUCCAAGAAAAUGCUUUUGCUCAGACUCACUUUAGUGAAUUGAUGUUGAACACCAGCAGCCUUCUCUGUGACUGCCAGUUGAAAUGGCUGCUUCAGUGGCUCGUUGACAGCCAUUUACAACAGGCUGUAAAUGUUAGCUGUGCUCACCCUGAAUGGCUAGCAGGACAAAGCAUUCUCAGUGUGAAUCCUGAAGACUUUGUCUGUGAUGACUUUCCUAAACCACAGAUAAGAGUACAUCCUGAGAGCACAAUUGCUCUAAGAGGCAUAAAUGUGACUUUGACUUGCACUGCAGUAAGCACUAGUGAUUCACCAAUGUCCACUGCAUGGCGUAAAGACAGCGAAAUUUUGUAUGAUGCAGAAGUUGAGCAUUUUGCCAGGUAUCAGCAGCAAGAUGGAGAGGUCCUUGAGUACACCACAGUCCUGCAUCUUUUCUAUGUGAAUUUCACCGAUGAAGGGAAAUACCAGUGCAUUGUCACCAAUCACUUUGGUUCCAAUUAUUCCAACAAAGCCAAACUGACUGUCAAUGAGCUGCCUUCCUUUCUGAAAACCCCCAUGGAUCUAACUAUCCGUACUGGGGCCAUGGCCCGACUUGAGUGUGCUGCUGAGGGCCACCCCUCUCCCCAGAUCUCAUGGCAGAAAGACGGUGGCACAGACUUCCCUGCAGCACGAGAGAGGCGAAUGCAUGUUAUGCCUGAAGAUGAUGUGUUCUUCAUCGCAAAUGUAAAAAUAGAAGAUAUGGGAAUCUAUAGCUGUAUGGCACAAAACAUCGCAGGAGGUCUAUCAGCAAAUGCCACACUGACUGUGUUGGAAACUCCUUCGUUUGUUAGGCCUCUGGAAGACAGGGCAGUAACCCGAGGUGAAACUGCCGUGCUGCAGUGUAUAGCUGGUGGCAGUCCAGCCCCUCGCCUGAACUGGACUAAAGAUGAUGGGCCCCUAACAGUAACAGAACGACACUUCUUUGCUGCUGCCAAUCAACUCCUUAUCAUCGUGGAUGCUGGAUUAGAGGAUGCUGGGAAAUAUACGUGCAUUAUGUCCAACACACUUGGCACAGAGCGUGGCCAUAUUUACUUAAAUGUAUUAUCUUCCCCAAGUUGUGAUUCCUCCCAAAGUGGUAUUUUACACGAGGAAGAUGGCUGGACGACAGUUGGCAUUGUGAUUAUUGUUGUAGUCUGCUGUGUUGUGGGCACCUCUUUGGUAUGGGUUAUAGUUAUAUAUCACAUGCGGAGAAAAAGUGAAGACUACAGCAUCACUAACACAGAGGAGAUGAAUUUACCUGCAGAUAUUCCCAGUUAUUUAUCCUCCCAAGGAACUCUUUCUGAACCUCAAGAAGGCUACAGCAACUCAGAGGCAGGAAGCCAUCAACAACUUAUGCCUCCUGCAAAUGGCUAUGUGCGCAAGGGAACAGAUGGUCCUAGUAGCCAGGUAUCCCGGCUACGACUGGUGAUGUGAGCAAACCCCCAGCUGUUCACUGCAGAAGUGGGAGACGGGACAUCUCCCAGAGAGCUGUGCCAACCUUUCUCUGAGAACUGUGCAUUCAUCGGACUUGGUGUGUCACUUCCCAGAACCAGCGUUCUCACAGUUCCAGACUGGCCCCUAGCCCAGUAUCACAGCUGUGGGUAACCCACAAGGUGAACCUGUCUGCUGCAUGCUUGCCAGGGCAGGAGAAGGAAACACAGAGCAAAAGGAAGGAGCCUGCAGCAUGUUCAGCUAUUAACUUCAAGGAGGUGUCCCAAGACAACUGCACAUGAGCUAUGAAACCCCAGGUCACUCAGGGAUGAUGGGCUGCCUCUUGCUGAGUGCUCGAAAUUACCGCAUUUUGAUAACUGCAAAGAGGCUGUGUUCCUGGAGCACAGAGCAAGUCAAACACUAAAGGAUUCAUGCGCUUCUGCUGUGGAUUCACUGUUCCUCUGUUCACUCUUACCUCACCACGUAGUGACAUUUGCUCAGGAGGCUGAGCUAUGGAGCACCUGUUCCCUGCACAAUAUGAUGCUGUACUGUCUGACUGCUACUCAUCUACCCCAGAGCUGACUGCGUUUCAGUGGCACUACGCGUAUAUCCUUGGAACAUCCCUUUGGAUCCUUGGAGGCGGAGGUACUAGAGAUGUAGAGGGUGUUUGAUGGGAAGAUUUUCAGGUUUAAUACUCAGCAGGGAGAGAUUUCCAGUGCAAUUCUCCUGCGGUGUCUCAUGCUACUAAUGCUGCCAGACUAGAGGGAACAGGAAUCUUAAAUGCUCUCCUCUUCCUUGCAGUUGGUGGUACCUGGCCUUUCUUGCAUGGUCUGGUCUUUCCUUUUGGCUGCCCCUCACUCCACUACUUAAGCCUGACAGCUCUGAUUUCACUCUCACUGUCACAGAACAGGAAGUUUUUGACAGCUGCCUUUGCCAUUAUUCUUUCCUUAAUGUUGUUGUUGUUUUUUGCGUUACUGUCAAAUCGCAUCUUAUUAAAGCUCCUUCCCAUCCUGUCAGCACCAGCUGAAGAGAGUGAAUGGCCACAUAUCUCCAGCCCCUGUAUGGGGAAAUUGCCUUCUAUUAUUGAUAAGAAAAUGCUGCUCUGGGAGAAUGUGACUCUGCUGCUUAUCCAGGUCAAUCCUCUGGCCAUGGACUCACCGCACUGCAGCAGUUCUGACUGCAAAGCAGGCUUCGGUGUAGGUACCCCAAACACCAGGCUGUGUGCACUGUGCGGGUUGUGUGCCUCUUCCUCUGCCCUGAGCACAACAUGGGAGGGGGUCAGGCAAAUAAGUUGGUGACCCUGAUUUGCUGAUUCUGGGCAGUGUGACAGUCUUCCCACUGCUGGGGAAUUUGGCUCUGCAUCAAGAAGGACGACUCCUGCAAGAGAUGACCAAGCCACGACCAGCUCAGGUUGGGGUAACAGCAGCUGUUAGCCAGCCACAGGCAGUGAAGGAUGCAGCAAAGGGAAAUAUGUGCCAUCAGAGCUGAUGCAUUUAAAUUGUACUGACCAUGGUUACCAUGCUGCUGGUGUUUAAACAGGUGGUGAAAGGCAUGGCACUGUAAACGGGGAGGUGAGAGAUUAGAGUGCUUUCAGCAGGAGGCCUUUCCUUCUGCAGUUAGUCCUCACUGGAAACCUGGCUUAGCCCAAACCUUGCCAUAUCUAUAAUGCAUUGAACGACUCUCCACCCCCACCCAGAGUCAGCUCUAAGCACUCUGAAAUUGCUGAUGUGUCUGCCCGUUGGGUUCUAGUGCAGGAGGCUGGGGUCAUGGUGAAUUUGCUCCUGUGACGAAGUGGGACUGGUUUUAAUAUUCCCUCUGAAUACUGUGGGGGGGGCCUCAGCUCUGGCCGACCCUCUGUGGCCUAGCAACUAAUGGCCAGGCCCUUCCUCCUGCAAGGGGAUGCUAAAGGUGUUGGAGACAGAGAGAUCAGGUGACC